rnacentral:rRNA from 1 species
UUAUUUGAAAUAAUAAAUUUUAUAAAAAUAUAUCAUAUUAGUAUAAAUCAUUAUUUCUCGUUGUGAGUCUAUACGGAAUAGUUUUAAUGUAAGACUUAUAUUUUUACCACUUGCUAGGUUUUGUAAAACGGGCUUAUAGAGAGUAAUAAAGUGCCAGCACUAGCGGUCAAACUUUUUCUUAAAAUAAUGUUAUCAGGGACGAUUUUAUUCUAUAUGGAAGCUUUUACGGAGGUAAAAUUUGUAAAUUCUUAAAUUAGGUUAAAAUAUCAUAAAUUACUUCAAACAAACUAGGAUUAGAUACCCUAUUAUGAGUAACGAAAUUGAUGUCUCUAAUUAGUAAUUGCUAAAUUCAGGAAAGUCAUUUUAUGUGGCGGCUAGAAGUCUAACCAGAGGCAGAUGCGUAUAAACGAAAUUGCACGAACAUCUUACUUUUCUAUCCUUGUACACCGCUGUUGGAAAGUUUGGCUGUAAAGUUAAACUCUAUUUUCAGUAACUGGAAGAUAAAACAAGUCUAGGUGCAGGAUUGAGAAGGAAUCGUGUCUGUCAGUUUAAUGUAAUGGAAAUAGACGUUGAAAUACGUUUAAUUUAGAAUCUGGAAGUAAAGUUCGUUCAUUAUACGGAUUUGAAAUAGAAACUUCAAGUGUACAAAUCGCCCGUCAUCCC